CAAGACAAUCAGGGCAAUAGACUCAGCCUCUUUUCUGCAAAUAAUUCUUCCAUCUUGAUAAUCAUAAUUCUCUUCUAAUGUUGGGUCGUCUGUGAUCCCCAGAUCCCCCGACCGAAAUCGGGAUGCCUCGAGGUUCGACCGUAGAGUCCCAAACUCCCUCGACCUCGGGAAGUAUCGCAGGACGAUGAAACAUCGACUUGGCGCAAGAUUCC
rnacentral:lncRNA from 1 species